rnacentral:rRNA from 1 species
AGAGUUUGAUCCUGGCUCAGGACGAACGCUGGCGGCGUGCCUAAUACAUGCAAGUCGAACGAGAGCGACCGGUGCUUGCACUGGUCAAUCUAGUGGCGAACGGGUGAGUAACACGUGGGUAACCUGCCCAUCAGAGGGGGAUAACAUUCGGAAACGGAUGCUAAAACCGCAUAGGUCUUCGAACCGCAUGGUUUGAAGAGGAAAAGAGGCGCAAGCUUCUGCUGAUGGAUGGACCCGCGGUGCAUUAGCUAGUUGGUGAGGUAACGGCUCACCAAGGCCGUGAUGCAUAGCCGACCUGAGAGGGUGAUCGGCCACAUUGGGACUGAGACACGGCCCAAACUCCUACGGGAGGCAGCAGUAGGGAAUCUUCCGCAAUGGACGCAAGUCUGACGGAGCAACGCCGCGUGAGUGAAGAAGGUUUUCGGAUCGUAAAACUCUGUUGUUAGAGAAGAACAAGUGCUAGAGUAACUGUUAGCACCUUGACGGUAUCUAACCAGAAAGCCACGGCUAACUACGUGCCAGCAGCCGCGGUAAUACGUAGGUGGCAAGCGUUGUCCGGAUUUAUUGGGCGUAAAGCGAGCGCAGGCGGUUCCUUAAGUCUGAUGUGAAAGCCCCCGGCUCAACCGGGGAGGGUCAUUGGAAACUGGGGAACUUGAGUGCAGAAGAGGAGAGUGGAAUUCCAUGUGUAGCGGUGAAAUGCGUAGAUAUAUGGAGGAACACCAGUGGCGAAGGCGACUCUCUGGUCUGUAACUGACGCUGAGGCUCGAAAGCGUGGGUAGCAAACAGGAUUAGAUACCCUGGUAGUCCACGCCGUAAACGAUGAGUGCUAAGUGUUGGUCUCAUAAGAGAUCAGUGCUGCAGCUAACGCAUUAAGCACUCCGCCUGGGGAGUACGACCGCAAGGUUGAAACUCAAAGGAAUUGACGGGGGCCCGCACAAGCGGUGGAGCAUGUGGUUUAAUUCGAAGCAACGCGAAGAACCUUACCAAGUCUUGACAUCCUUUGACCACUCUAGAGAUAGAGCUUUCCCUUCGGGGACAAAGUGACAGGUGGUGCAUGGUUGUCGUCAGCUCGUGUCGUGAGAUGUUGGGUUAAGUCCCGCAACGAGCGCAACCC